UGAUGUUAUGAUGUGGAAUACCAAUAACCGAAAAUCAUAAAACCAUGACAUAGUUGCAUCAAAGCUGUGAAAUAUCGGGUCCUGGUGGCACUAGAGGUGUUCAAGGCAAGGUGGAAAGUUAGGAAUGUUGUUACAGGUCACUCAUGCUGGACAGAAUUAACCUGACGUAGCAGUGCAGUGUGAAAUAGUUCCAUUACCAAAAAUAACAGAUUAAUUUCUCAUGGUGAAGGGUUGCUGCAGUGGAGAAAUAGACUAUUGCGCUGUGGACGUCUGUCUUUAAGGCUGGUACUAGGGGCUGCUGUGAGAAUGGAGAGAGUGGUGUCAGCUGGAAAGUGGUGAGAAAAAUUACUGUGAUUUAAGAAAGAGCUGACAGGAGAUUAAGAUAACUGAGAGAAGCUACAGCAAGUUUUGCGAAACUAAAUGGUGUUUUUCUAGGCGCAAGGAUUUCUCUGAAAGUAUGAAGUGAACAAUAGGCUGCUUAAAAGCUUCUAAAACACAGAAGUCUUUAAGAGGGUAACUUGGGUCCUCAUGACAGUGAUGUGUGAGCUGAUGGUGUGUGACACAAAGCUGAGGUCGGUGCAGAUCUGGAGGAUUUUGAAGAAUCCUGUUAAAAAAUAACAUGAGGAACAGUGGCACCGUGCUGGUGCUGCCCCUGCUGAAUCUGUGGAAGGAACAAUUCCCUAACAUUUUUUAGUCAGUUGGGUGGGAAUUGAUUUCUGCUGAGGAAAGGACCAUGAAAACGUGGUUAUUGCACAGCAACUAGGAACUUUAACAUGUCCAAAACAAAGCACAAAAUGCCAUGGAAACUACGGUCAGCUCUCUGUAUCAUUCUCAGAUGCUUUUCUGAUCAGCUGUAGUUAAAAUACAUACUUUUAUUGAAAGAUUACAAGUGAGGAUUAUGUGGCUCUGGUGGUGAAGCUAUGCCAAAGUAUGUAGCGCGUGUGUUCUUGUGUACCAGAAUGAGGAAGGGUAAUGGGUCUCAGCAUUGGUAUUAGCCUUUAAAAAGCACGUAUUAUGCAAAGGGAUGUCCUGUGGUAAUCUGAAAGAAAAAUAAAGCUACAGGUGCAAUCCAUUGCUGCAGACCAUUAUGGAGUCAUAUAGAUCGGUCUAAUAUCACAGUACUUUAAUGCUUUUGAUUUAUGGUAUGAGAUAUUUUUGGGGCAAACUAAACUACCUCAUCGGGUAAAUUCAAAAAGACUCCCCUUACUCUCCAACAUCAUGAAUUGGCUUCUUCUGAGCAAGAAUGGAGCUGGGCUGCCACACAGGGAACUGCGUGUACAUUCUCCAUGUGAAAAUCCCUGAAGCUUGCAAAGCAAAGAUCACCUCACCAAGUUAUCCAAAACCUGUGUGCUGGGAGCCCACAAAAUACCUGAUCUACAGAUGUGUUUGUGCCAUUCAUCACCCAGGGACAUUGAGCUGCAGCAUCUCCAUUCUCUAUGGAGACAGAAAAUUGACAUCAGUUUGAGAGUGUUCCUGUAGGACCCCUCUGGCCAUCUGUGAGAUGAGCUGGUUACUCCAGUGUAUCCACAAUCAACCAUGGGUCCUUCACAAAAGCAGGAACUGCAAGAUCACCCAUCAAAGCCAGUGUGUCUUCAGUGGCAGAAGAUCUGGGGAAAGGACGAAUUCAGCCUCCCUGCAGAUAGCAAGAACAGAUGCUCCAGCUUCAACUCUGGAGCAUCUGUGAGGUCUAUGGUUUCACUGCCUCCUCCUCCUAGAUUUUAACAAAACUUUUUAUUUAUUCUAAUAGCCCUUACAUAGAAAUUCCUGCAUCCUCAGUUUUCUUUGCAUUGUUCAGCACUGUGAAUCAGAACAGGCUGAUAUCUGGAUGCCUGUGUGAGAUUCGUGUCACCUCAGUCUUUAGUCCCUCUUGGAGGUAGAAAUGGAGCCUGGAUGAUGGAGCUUGUUUGGUGUUUGUGAGGUGUGUGUUAGGCUAUGGCAUUUUCCACUAGGAACUCUUGGAGCUGAGAUCACCAUGUGGGCACAUUCCUGGGGACCAUCUCUAGAACACUGUUCCACACGUCUUCCCAAAGUAAUUAGAGAGUGCACCUGAGGGCUGUAUCUACCCUGCAGGAGCUGUCCAAGCAAAAACAGACCUGUGGAAGAAAUUAAAAAUAAUGUGUGAUGCAGCUAAGACUGGGACAAGAAAAGAAACAAGAGAAAGCAGAAGGACAGGGAAAGCAGGAUGCGUGGGCUGCAGUUAAAUAUACAGCAGUGCUCUUGCUUGCAUGGGCGGCCAACAUGUAGGGGCUUUGUGGUACAGCUGCCCCUCAGCAGCACGGAGACAAGCCUGUGUGGGCUCCAGAUAGUACCAGGACAGAGGGAAGAGCAGUGACAGGUCCUUGUUUCAGCAGCUCUGUGCUGUUCCCAUCCUGCCACUGGUUCUCAGGUACAGAGCCCAGUACCUCCCUCUGCUUCCCCUCCUCAGGGAGCUGCAGGGCGCAGUGAAGCCGCCUCUCGGCCUGCUCUUCUCCAGACUGCACAGCCGCAUGCCCUCAGUCUCCCCUCACAGGACAUGCCUUCAGCCCUAGUUUGCUUUACUGGGCCUUAGAGGAAGGAGGAGGUCCCCGUGACCUUCCUGCUGCAUUUCUGUGGCUUCUAUGACAUCUACAGUGUAGGUCCAUUCCUUCUGAGGUCUGCUGGCUCUGGCUGUGACAUGUGUGUAAGCCAGGAGUUUAAUUAUUAUAAACAUUAAAAUGAUUUGACCAAAGCAAGUGGAAAGCAAAAAUUGCCACUUGGGCUGAAUAAUUGCCAAUUCUCAGCUCUAAUAGCUGCUGUAUAAUUUAUAGGGAUAAAAGGCUAUGGAGCAGUCAUUUCUCUUCACUUUUAGAGUUUUGUAUAGAUCCCCAAGUGUCAGUACUGUGUGUGAUGAGGCCAUGCCGUGCAGCACUUCUGCUGCCCUGGAAGCGAGGGAGAAGGGGAUGACCACAAUCCCUUUACUUCAACAAUCUGCCUACAGCAUCUGCAUGCUGAGAAAAGCAGAAUAUAGUGGCUGGAUGAAAGAAAGCCAAACCAGGAUUUCCCCGGAGUUUGUUUUGCUCUGUAAUUUUUGGAAAAGGAGGUUGGUAGAAGUGCCUGUUUCUUCUCCCCACGCAAGGCCUGGUUUACCAUCUGAGCCGCUCCAGUGUUACCUUUUAGCACGCUCACAUGGACGCUUAUUGCGCCUGAUGGCCAAGGCUCAGCUUUCGGGGUAUUCUGAGGGCCUGCGUCCAACAUCUAACACAUAGCUCAGCAUGUUCACAGUUCAGUGUGACUGAGAGCUGCAGCCCAGGUGGUUUACUGACGACAGCAACUUUUACUUUUCUUCCCAAAGAUCCCAGUCCAUGGGAU